GGGGAAUCUUCCGCAAUGGACGAAAGUCUGACCGAGCAACGCCGCGUGAGUGAAGAAGGUUUUCGGAUCGUAAAGCUCUGUUGUAAGAGAAGAACGAGUGUGAGAGUGGAAAGUUCACACUGUGACGGUAUCUUACCAGAAAGGGACGGCUAACUACGUGCCAGCAGCCGCGGUAAUACGUAGGUCCCGAGCGUUGUCCGGAUUUAUUGGGCGUAAAGCGAGCGCAGGCGGUUAGAUAAGUCUGAAGUUAAAGGCUGUGGCUUAACCAUAGUACGCUUUGGAAACUGUUUAACUUGAGUGCAAGAGGGGAGAGUGGAAUUCCAUGUGUAGCGGUGAAAUGCGUAGAUAUAUGGAGGAACACCGGUGGCGAAAGCGGCUCUCUGGCUUGUAACUGACGCUGAGGCUCGAAAGCGUGGGGAGCAAACAGGAUUAGAUACCCUGGUAGUCCACGCCGUAAACGAUGAGUGCUAGGUGUUAGACCCUUUCCGGGGUUUAGUGCCGCAGCUAACGCGUUAAGCACUCCGCCUGGGGAGUACGACCGCAAGGUUG
rnacentral:rRNA from 1 species